rnacentral:rRNA from 1 species
GACGAACGCUGGCGGCGUGCUUAACACAUGCAAGUCGAACGGAAAGGCCCUGCUUUUGCGGGGUGCUCGAGUGGCGAACGGGUGAGUAACACGUGAGUAACCUGCCCUUGACUUUGGGAUAACUUCAGGAAACUGGGGCUAUUACCGCAUAGGAGCUCCUGCUGCAUGGUGGGGGUUGGAAAGUUUCGGCGGUUGGGGAUGGACUCGCGGCUUAUCAGCUUGUUGGUGGGGUAGUGGCUUACCAAGGGUUUGACGGGUAGCCGGCCUGAGAGGGUGACCGGCCACAUUGGGACUGAGAUACGGCCCAGACUCCUACGGGAGGCAGCAGUGGGGAAUAUUGCACAAUGGGCGGAAGCCUGAUGCAGCAACGCCGCGUGCGGGAUGACGGCCUUCGGGUUGUAAACCGCUUUCGCCUGUGACGAAGCGUGAGUGACGGUAAUGGGUAAAGAAGCACCGGCUAACUACGUG